CAGUCGCCGCGGGAAUACGGAGGAUCCAAGCGUUAUCCGGAAUCAUUGGGUUUAAAGGGUCCGUAGGCGGUCUUGUAAGUCAGUGGUGAAAGCCCAUCGCUCAACGGUGGAACGGCCAUUGAUACUGCAGGACUUGAAUUAUUGGGAAGUAACUAGAAUAUGUAGUGUAGCGGUGAAAUGCUUAGAGAUUACAUGGAAUACCAAUUGCGAAGGCAGGUUACUACCAAUUGAUUGACGCUGAUGGACGAAAGCGUGGGUAGCGAACAGGAUUAGAUACCCGAGUAGUCCCUGUCUCUUAUAU
rnacentral:rRNA from 1 species